CGCCCUCUGCCCGUGUCGCCAGG
rnacentral:miRNA from 1 species